CCUACGGGUGGCAGCAGUGGGGAAUAUUGAACAAUGGGCGAAAGCCUGAUCCAGCCAUGCCGCGUGUGUGAAGAAGGCCUUCGGGUUGUAAAGCACUUUCAGUGGGGAAGAAAGCCUUGGGGCUAAUACCCUCGAGGAAGGACAUCACCCACAGAAGAAGCACCGGCUAACUCCGUGCCAGCAGCCGCGGUAAUACGGAGGGUGCGGCGUUUAAUCGGAAUUACUGGGCGUAAAGCGCGCGUAGGCGGUCUGAUAAGCCGGUUGUGAAAGCCCCGGGCUCAACCUGGGAACGGCAUCCGGAACUGUCAGGCUAGAGUGCAGGAGAGGAAGGUAGAAUUCCCGGUGUAGCGGUGAAAUGCGUAGAGAUCGGGAGGAAUACCAGUGGCGAAGGCGGCCUUCUGGACUGACACUGACGCUGAGGUGCGAAAGCGUGGGUAGCAAACAGGAUUAGAUCCCCUUGUAGUC
rnacentral:rRNA from 1 species